rnacentral:rRNA from 1 species
CACGCAGGCGGUUUGUUAAGUCAGAUGUGAAAUCCCCGGGCUCAACCUGGGAACUGCAUCUGAUACUGGCAAGCUUGAGUCUCGUAGAGGGGGGUAGGAAUUCCAGGUGUAGCGGUGAAAUGCGUAGAGAUCUGGAGGAAUACCGGUGGCGAAGGCGGCCCCGUGGACGAAGACUGACGCUCAGGUGCGAAAGCGUGGGAGCAAACA